rnacentral:misc_RNA from 1 species
AACCAUUCUCACCUGCGGCUAGACCUGCGGAGGGAUCAUUACCGAGUUAGGGUAGUCACACUGCCCGACCUCCCAACCCUGUGUCUACCAUACCUUGUCGUUGCUUCGGCGGACCGGUUGACCAACUGGUCAUGACCGCCGGGGGCUGGCUCUGUCCCCCCUGGAGAGCGUCCGCCGAUGGCCCAACCACAAAACUCUUGUACCGAAACGUGCCGUCUGAAUUAUGUUUGAGAAAUCAAA